AGGUUAAGCUACAAAGAGCACACGGAGGAUGCCUAGGCGCCAGGAGCCGACGAAGGACGUGGCGAACAACGAUAAAGCCUCGGGGAGCUGUAAGCAAGCUUUGAUCCGGGGAUGUCCGAAUGGGGAAACCCGGCUGUCUUCAUCGACAGUCACUACUCACUGAAUUCAUAGGUGGGUGAGAGGCAGACCAGGGGAACUGAAACAUCUAAGUACCCUGAGGAAGAGAAAACAAUAGUGAUUCCGUCAGUAGCGGCGAGCGAACGCGGAUUAGCCCAAACCAAGGAGCUUGCUCCUUGGGGUUGUGGGACGUCUCACAUGGAGUUACAAAGGAACCGGUUAGAUGAAGAGGUCUGGAAAGGCCCACCAGAGAAGGUAAAAGCCCUGUAGUUCAAAACCCGUUCCCUCCGAGACGGAUCCCGAGUAGUGCGGGGCACGUGAAACCCCGUAUGAAUCCGGCAGGACCAUCUGCCAAGGCUAAAUACUCCCUGGCGACCGAUAGUGAAGCAGUACCGUGAGGGAAAGGUGAAAAGCACCCCGGAAGGGGAGUGAAAUAGAUCCUGAAACCGUGUGCUUACAAGAAGUCAGAGCCCGAUCUAUGGGUGAUGGCG
rnacentral:rRNA from 1 species